rnacentral:lncRNA from 10 species
CUGCUGGCUGCACUCUCUCACCUCUAUUUCUAUCGUCUCUUUUUUUCCCACCUGAUUUUCCUCAAAUGCACUUCACCAAAUUAGCUUUUGUCCCAGUUCUGAGUCACACUCUAGGGAAAAUCUAAAGACUUCCUUUUCUCCUUAAUUCUUCCACUGCAUUUCAACAAAUAUUUAUAAAGUGUCUAUUCUGUGCAGAUUGCUAUGCUAGGUUAUUUUGGAGGCUACAAAAUAAAAUGCAUGGUCUGCUUCCUGCCCACAAGUAACUUGGAAUCCAAUAAGCAAGACAAGCUAUUGUGGCAAUAACUGGAUGCAAGGUGCUUUUAACUGCAGGGAAUCAUAAAAGGGAAGGAUCAAGGAAGGCUUCACGAGGAUUUGAAGGAUGGCAGCGUCUUGAUAAGUUACAGCUCCCAUUUCCACAGGGGCAUCAACUUUGCUAAAUGGGGGUGGUUGCUGAGUUCCAAGAAGGAGCAUUCCAUGAAAGGUGAAAGCAGAAGCUGUAUAUUUCUGAAGACUUGGACUCAAAAGUUACAUAGCAUCACCUCUGCUACAUUAUAUUGGCGAAGUCCAAGAGGAAGGAAAAUAAACUUUGCUUCUUAAUGGGAAGAAUGGAAAAAAUAAAAGGAAAAUAAAAG